rnacentral:tRNA from 2 species
GCCGGAGUGGCGGAAUGGCAGACGCGCUGGACUCAAAAUCCAGUAUCCUCAAAGAUGUGUGGGUUCAAGUCCCACCUCCGGCACCA